UGUGGAGGAAAAGAAUCAAGCCAUCUGUGCUGUUCAUAUUUAUGUGAAUGUUGUACAUUUGCAUAGGUGCUGGUAAGGCACAGUUUUCUCUCUGUGUUGUCUGUGCAGCCAGCUGUGUGCAUGCUGGAUGUGUGUAUGUGUGACAGGCUGUUCAUGUAGCAGGCUGUGAGUGUGGUGUGAGUGUGUGUGUUCUUAUUGGGGAUUUUGUGCUGAGCCUUGUUGCCAGCUGGACUCUGGAAACAGGGAGCACAGCGGACUCAUCUCCAUCAGGCUACCCAGUCAAGCAACCUCUAACAUGGAACAGGAAUCUACAAAUCGACCUCAUGUGUAAUACUGCUUUUCCAGACAUGGUUGGCAACAUCUCCUCCCUAAAACAAGAACAUUCCCAUAAUGAAGCAGCAGCAGCUGGUGGAACUUGGAGAGGCUUGUUAUAAUUUGGCAUUUUCCUCCAAGAAGCAUCCAGGUGCCUUUUUUCCAAGUUCUUGCCCUCCCAUUCUUCAUUUGGAUAGACAUUAUGGAAUAAGUAUUAAAAAGACAUGAGUUUAAAAAUAAAAUAAAAAUUAUGGUUUGUA